rnacentral:rRNA from 1 species
AUUGAACGCUGGCGGCAGGCUUAACACAUGCAAGUCGAGCGGAGAGAGGUAGCUUGCUACUGAUCUUAGCGGCGGACGGGUGAGUAAUGCUUAGGAAUCUGCCUAUUAGUGGGGGACAACAUUUCGAAAGGAAUGCUAAUACCGCAUACGUCCUACGGGAGAAAGUGGGGGAUCUUCGGACCUCACGCUAUCAGAUGAGCCUAGGUACGAUUAGCUAGUUGGUGAGGUAAAGGCUCACCAAGGCGACGAUCGUUAACUGGUCUGAGAGGAUGAUCAGUCACACUGGAACUGAGACACGGUCCAGACUCCUACGGGAGGCAGAAGUGGGGAAUAUUGGGCAAUGGGCGAAAGCCUGAUCCAGCCAUGCCGCGUGUGUGAAGAGGGUCUUCGGAUUGUAAAGCACUUUAAGUUGGGAGGAAGGGCAGUAAGUUAAUACCUUGCUGUUUUGACGUUACCGACAGAAUAAGCACCGGCUAACUUCGUGCCAGCAGCCGCCGUAAUAC